UACGAGUGGUGCAAGCGUUAUUCGGAGUGAUUGGGUGUAAAGGGUGCGCAGACGGCGUAUUAAGUCAAUCGUUAAAUUCCCUGGCCUAACUGGGGGCAAGCGGUAGAUACUGGUAUGCUUGAGGGCGGAAGAGAGAAGUGGAAUUCUCGGAGUAGCGGUAAAAUGCGUAGAUCUCGAGAGGAACACCAAUGGCGAAAGCAGCUUCUUGGUCCGUUUCUGACGUUCAUGCACGAAAGCGUGGGGAG
rnacentral:rRNA from 1 species